rfam:Piromyces finnis strain finn BCR36scaffold_11, whole genome shotgun sequence.
GCAAGUAUGGCCGAGCGGUCUAAGGCGCUACGUUCAGGUCGUAGUCAGUAAUGGCGCGGGUUCGAAUCCCGCUACUUGCA